rnacentral:rRNA from 1 species
AUUGUUCAAGAUAGCCAUGCACGUCUAAGUACAAACUAAAUGAUGGUGAAACUGCAAAUGGCUCAUUACAACGGUUAUGAUGUACCCGGGAGUUCCGAUGGAUAUUUCCAGUAACACUAGAACUAAUACAUGUCCCUGCGUUUAUUAGUUUCGCACAGUCCGUCGCUGAGUCAUGGUAGACAGUUGAUCGACUCGACGUCCCGGAACAGUUUCCGCCCCAUCAGCUUCGAUGGUUGGGUAUUGGCCUACCAUUGCAACAACGGGUAACGAGGAAUUAGGGUUUGAUUUCGGAGAGGGAGCCUGAGAAACGGCUACCACAUCUACGGAUGGCAGCAGGCGCGCAAAUUACCCAAUGCAGACACUGUGAGGUAGUGACGAGAAAUAAUAAAGCGGGACUUCUGUUUCGCUAUUAUAAUGAGGAAUAACCAAAGGUCAUUCCGAUUAGCAACUGAUGGGAAAGUCUGGUGCCAGCAGCCGCGGUAAUACCAGCGUCAGUAGCA